AAACUCUCCCUUUCUGCUGAUUGAACCAACGAGGAAUACCUGGGGUGAAGCUUCAUAACAUAUCUCCUAGACUUCUUUAGGUCUGUAUCAAGACCUUGUCCUGCAAACGGCAACAGCUCCAGGAACCUGUCCGUAAACUCCUCUACGCUCAUCUCUUCCGUCUGCCUUAGCUGCUCAAACUCAAUCAUCUUCAGUUCUCUGGAACUAUCUGGAAAAGC
rnacentral:lncRNA from 1 species